AAAAAACAGUGGCUUUUUCUGCUAACCCUCUCAAGCAAUCAGAUAAGUAACUCAAAAUGAGGACCCAUGGGGAGAAUUGGCAAAUGAGAAGAGAGAAGAAUGGAGAAGUGGAAAGAAAUUUCAUCAGAAAGGCAAAUGAAUAUUUAGUUAACUAGACACAUAAAAUAUAGAGGCAAAGGAUAAAGAGAGAAAAAAGAAACGUGAAGAUCACUAAGGCUCAGUUUUGUUUUGUAUUGUAUUUUUGCCAAGACUUGGCUUCUUUGAACACGGCUGCACAGAGAACUCCAGCCAACUGCAGUUCUUGGAUUUAUUCUGGUUAGAGCAACACUCCUCAGAGGCACCCCCACCCCGCAUGCUCCCACCUUGCUGGAAUGAGCAACUCUUACCCUGUUCUGCUUCUCCUGGACUGCAAGCAGACUUAUCAAAU
rnacentral:lncRNA from 1 species